UUUUAUAGGUGAUGCAGGUACCGUGUUUACCGACAUUCCAAGGUUUGUUGUGUAUCUUCAUAAAAUGUUGGUCUUCUCAGGAGUUCAAGUUAUGUACAUCACCUUGUCCUUUCUUCUUUGUUCUGAAAGUGCCAUUAUAAAAAGAGCAUUU